rnacentral:rRNA from 1 species
UACGAAGGGGGCUAGCGUUGCUCGGAAUCACUGGGCGUAAAGCGCACGUAGGCGGACUCUUAAGUCAGGGGUGAAAUCCUGGAGCUCAACUCCAGAACUGCCUUUGAUACUGAAGAUCUUGAGUUCGGGAGAGGUGAGUGGAACUGCGAGUGUAGAGGUGAAAUUCGUAGAUAUUCGCAAGAACACCAGUGGCGAAGGCGGCUCACUGGCCCGGUACUGACGCUGAGGCACGAAAGCGUGGGGAGCAAACAGG